AGAAACCAGCCCUGCCCACUCACUUUAGUUCUAUAUAGGGUAACCAUCAUCCUGCUUGGAAAUAUAGGACAUCUGGGACACUUUCCUCAUUCCUUCCUCCCCCAACACCUUCUCUUCCCUCCCUCCUAGUCAGUGGUGCACUGCAGGGAGAGGCAGAGGCAGAGUGGCAUCCUGCAACAGGGGCACCAUGCUGCUUUCUUUCCCAGCAGAACUGUUCCCCAUGCCUGGGACACUCAUUUAAAUUUGCAUCCCCUGUCUGGGACCAGCCUCCAAAAUCCAGGACUGUCAAGGGAAAAAUGGGAUGGAUGUUUACCCUAGUUCUAUACGUAUUGCACACUACAAGGGUAAGAGCUGUGACCUGACAUCACCUGGAUCCAUUCCUUUCUUCUGGAACAACAUGCCAUGUCUGCAGUGAACGUGAAGAUCUUGGACUGGCCUUGUCAGUCUUUUCACUGACUUCUAUAUAUGUACAACACAGUAAAAAUGUGUAGUUGCCAUCAAAGCAGCACCAAGCAUGCCAGCACUGCUCUUAGGAGGAUGUGCUGGACUGUGAUCUUGAUCUUGACCGUGUUUCUGGACUCAUGCCUACAAGAGACUAAAAUACAUUUUUUGAUGAGUUGGAGUGGGAGCAGCUCAUUUCUGCUCAUGGAAAAAUGUGGAUUUUGGGUUACUUUUUUAACCUGAAAAUUGGGGAUUUUUUUUAAUCAGAAAAAAACCAGGAUCCCUGGUGACAACUAUGUUCAUUAAGCAGGUUGAGGGAAAUAUUCAGCACAGCUCAUUUAAAAAUAUUCUAUGAAUAUAUCCUACUGGUAUUUUUUGUUUUGUUUAAGUAUUCCAGAAUGCAUCACUUCAGGACAUCAAAUAUGCCAUGACUGUAUGAGUCAAAGUAGGAUGUCUGAUAUUCAAAACACCACACUGUGGCUUUUUGUUAGCAAACGAAGAAAUACAGAGAUGGAGUUCAUAAAGAAGGGGUUGCAGAGUGGUACAUAAAGCUGCAUUUUUGUUGUAGUGGUCAUACUAUAUUCUAUGCCCUCUGUGAUCCUUUUAAAGUUGUUUGUGACAUUGUAUCUUUGGAUUUUAGGGAUAUGCAUAAAAAUUACAGAGACAUGCUGCUCCCGAGCAAAAGGUCAUAAACGUCAGGGACAAAACCUUAUAUCAUGUGCCAAAAAAAGGGUCCGCAAAGGCAUUUAAAAGAAGAGUCAUGUGAGAAGUAGGAGCAAAAAGCUCCAAUCACAUCAAUUUGUUUUUUCACAAGCUGCCCUUUAAGGCAUCACCCUGAGGAUUCUACUUAGUGGGAUGAGCAGAAAGUUUCAGCAUUUUAAUUACUUGCUUGCCUGCAGCAACUAACGGCCUGAGCACCACGAGUGGGCUGAUGAUGAGUGACAAUUUACAUCUAUUGGCUGAACAGCUGGAAAACGAGCCCUAUGUGAUUUCUUACUGCUAUGUCAUGCCAGUCCAAAGCAAAGCAUUUUGCAGAGAUGGGCAUGCUGAUUACUGUCUCUUGUCAGCAUGUAGAAGAGUUGUUUCAUACAAUAAUGCUGGGAAUACUUUAGGAGAAGGAGAAGCUCCAAACUGUCAGCAGAACCACAGAGCUUGCUUCUGAGCUUCAGGAUUCAUUCUAAAUUCACUCUUGUCCUUCUUCAACAUUUGAGGGGAUUAUAAGAGUCAAUUGGAAAGAGUUGAUUUGUCUUCCCCUUCCCCCUCUCCUCCUCCUGAAAUCACUUAAACUGCUGGAGCAUAAGAAAAAGAAAAUUCCUGAGAUGAAAAAGGGUUUCAUCCAGUUCACUGCAUGUGGUUUUAUACAGAGAAGAAGUAAAGGUGGACUUCAGUGGGAAAAAAUGUGUAUCCUUGUUUGCUUUUAUGAUGUAUAAGAGUCAGAAGAACAUAUUUUGUCCCUUCAAAAAGAUUUUCUUCCUUCUCAUUGCCUCAUUACACUAGAAAUUCAGGUCUCCUGUACUCUGUUUUUCCUGGAAACCUUAUAUGGUUUUCUUGAUGUCAUAUUCUGCUGGUACUAUGUUUGAUGAGCUAUGGAAUACAAGUUGAUACUUGAUUGAGACAGUUUGAAACUCUUGGCUAUGGCUUUUUGUUAUUUAGUUCAAAUGACUGAAUCGUUAAAGUAAAAGCUCUUUUGUUACAUAUUCAA